rnacentral:rRNA from 1 species
UGGGGAAUUUUGGACAAUGGGCGAAAGCCUGAUCCAGCAAUGCCGCGUGUGUGAAGAAGGCCUUCGGGUUGUAAAGCACUUUUGUCCGGAAAGAAAUCCUUGGCUCUAAUACAGUCGGGGGAUGACGGUACCGGAAGAAUAAGCACCGGCUAACUACGUGCCAGCAGCCGCGGUAAUACGUAGGGUGCAAGCGUUAAUCGGAAUUACUGGGCGUAAAGCGUGCGCAGGCGGUUUGCUAAGACCGAUGUGAAAUCCCGGGCUCAACCUGGGAACUGCAUUGGUGACUGGCAGGCUAGAGUAUGGCAGAGGGGGGUAGAAUUCCACGUGUAGCAGUGAAAUGCGUAGAGAUGUGGAGGAAUACCGAUGGCGAAGGCAGCCCCCUGGGCCAAUACUGACGCUCAUGCACGAAAGCGUGGGGAGCAAACAAGAUUAGAUACCCUGGUAGUCCACGCCCUAAAACGAUGUCAACUAGUUGUUGGGGAUUCAUUUCCUUAGUAACGUAGCUAACGCGUGAAGUUGACCGCCUGGGGAGUACGGUCGCAAGAUUAAAACUUAAAUGAAUUGACGGGGUCAUAGCUGUUUCCU